GGACUGCUGAGGAGUCCCAUACCAGGACGAAACGGCCGUCCAGUGC
rnacentral:hammerhead_ribozyme from 1 species